UGGGAAUUUUGGACAAUUGGGCGAAAGCCUGAUCCAGCAAUGCCGCGUGUGUGAAGAAGGCCUUCGGGUUGUAAAGCACUUUUGUCCGGAAAGAAAUCCUUGGCUCUAAUACAGUCGGGGGAUGACGGUACCGGAAGAAUAAGCACCGGCUAACUACGUGCCAGCAGCCGCGGUAAUACGUAGGGUGCAAGCGUUAAUCGGAAUUACUGGGCGUAAAGCGUGCGCAGGCGGUUUGCUAAGACCGAUGUGAAAUCCCCGGGCUCAACCUGGGAACUGCAUUGGUGACUGGCAGGCUAGAGUAUGGCAGAGGGGGGUAGAAUUCCACGUGUAGCAGUGAAAUGCGUAGAGAUGUGGGGGAAUACCGAUGGCGAAGGCAGCCCUCUGGGCCAAUACUGACGCUCAUGCACGAAAGCGUGGGGAGCAAACAGGAUUAGAUACCCCUGGUAGUCCACGCCCUAAACGAUGAUUACUCGACAUUAGCGAUACACAGUUAGUGUCUGAGCG
rnacentral:rRNA from 1 species